UACGGAGGGUGCAAACGUUGCUCGGAAUCAUUGGGCGUAAAGCGCACGUAGGCGGCCUGUUAAGUCGGAUGUGAAAGCCCCGGGCUCAACCCGGGAAGUGCAUACGAAACUGGCAGGCUUGAAUAUGGAAGAGGGUCGCGGAAUUCCCGGUGUAGAGGUGAAAUUCGUAGAUAUCGGGAGGAACACCAGCGGCGAAGGCGGCGACCUGGGCCAAUAUUGACGCUGAGGUGCGAAAGCGUGGGGAGCAAACAGG
rnacentral:rRNA from 1 species